rnacentral:rRNA from 1 species
UACGUAGGUGGCAAGCGUUGUCCGGAUUUAUUGGGCGUAAAGGGAGCGCAGGCGGUGAUUUAAGUCUGAUGUGAAAGCCCACGGCUCAACCGUGGAAGGUCAUUGGAAACUGGAUCACUUGAGUGCAGAAGAGGAAAGUGGAAUUCCAUGUGUAGCGGUGAAAUGCGUAGAUAUAUGGAGGAACACCAGUGGCGAAGGCGACUUUCUGGUCUGUAACUGACGCUGAGGCUCGAAAGCAUGGGGAGGCAAACAGGAUUAGA